AGAGUUUGAUCCUGGCUCAGGAUGAACGCUAGCGGCAGGCCUAAUACAUGCAAGUCGAGGGGUAACAGGGGAGCUUGCUCCUGCUGACGACCGGCAAACGGGUGAGGAACACGUACACAACCUUCCUUCUAGUGGAGGAUAGCCCAGGGAAACUUGGAUUAAUACUCCGUAAGAUGUUAGGGAGGCAUCUCCCAGACAUUAUAGUAGCGACACGCUAGAAGACGGGUGUGCGUCUGAUUAGGUAGUUGGCGGGGUAACGGCCCACCAAGCCGACGAUCAGUAACUGGUGUGAGAGCACGACCAGUCACACGGGCACUGAGACACGGGCCCGACUCCUACGGGAGGCAGCAGUAAGGAAUAUUGGUCAAUGGACGAAAGUCUGAACCAGCCAUGCCGCGUGAAGGAUGAAGGUCCUCUGGAUUGUAAACUUCUUUUAUAUGGGACGAAAAAAGGGUUUUCUAACUCUACUGACGGUACCAUAUGAAUAAGCACCGGCUAACUCCGUGCCAGCAGCCGCGGUAAUACGGAGGGUGCAAGCGUUAUCCGGAUUUACUGGGUUUAAAGGGAGCGUAGGUGGGCUGUUAAGUCAGUGGUGAAAUCCCGGGGCUCAACCUCGGAACUGCCGUUGAUACUAUCAGUCUUGAAUAUUGUGGAGGCUAGCGGAAUAUGUCAUGUAGCGGUGAAAUGCUUAGAUAUGACAUAGAACACCGAUUGCGAAGGCAGCUGGCUACGCAUAUAUUGACACUGAGGCUCGAAAGCGUGGGUAGCAAACAGGAUUAGAUACCCUGGUAGUCCACGCCCUAAACGAUGGAUACUCGACAUUAGCGAUAUACUGUUAGUGUCUGAGCGAAAGCAUUAAGUAUCCCACCUGGGAAGUACGAUCGCAAGAUUGAAACUCAAAUGAAUUGACGG
rnacentral:rRNA from 1 species